CACUCCCUCUCCUUUCCUGUCCACGAGGCCAGCUGUCCCGGCGGUGGCCAAGCACGGCUUGUACCAGGAAGGGGAGCGUCUCAUGCAGUUGGUGUCCACUGAAGCCAGGUGCCGGGCUCUGGAGGGAGGCGCUGCGGGCGCUGGCGUCUCGUCAAGGCUCCAAAUCUGAGUAGUGCCGGAGAAAACAUGUCAGCAGAAUGAGGUCACUGCCCGUGGGAAGGACACUUGCGGCCUGUAGGAACUGUAGGCCGUGGGUCCUACAGGGCGAGUCACACCGUGUUUCAGCAACAGGGACGGACGCAGGCAGAGCCACGCGGGAGGAGUGCCAGCGGCUGUCAGCGUGAGAAAUGGUGCAGUCUCAUUUUUAACUAGAAUCGUCACAGAUAUUCCAAAUUGUAUUAACGACGAUUUCUGGAGGCUUUUAAUCUUUUUCUCUGCUAUUAUACAUUUUUGCAAUUUCUAAAUUUCCUGUAUUUGCUUUAAAAUCAGAGAAAGGAGGUAGGGCACGCGUGGGGCGAGGUGUGUCCUCCUGUCCCCGGCACCGUCUGAGCUGCGAGUCUGUGGACCAAAGGGCCUGGGAGCGUGUGGGGAGCACGUCCCGUGGGCCAGGUGUGGUCGCACGUGGACUCAGGCCCAGAAUCCCACCCGGGGCUCCGAAGCCCGAGCCCCUUCCUCCACUGUUGCCCCCAGAUGCUCACACUCCUGCGUGUCCCUCAGACUUAGGAUCACCUCCACCCGCGGAGCCUGUGUGUCUAAGGCCGGGCGUGGCCUGGCCAGGCGGACCCCGAGGUACUGAGACCCCGACUCUAGCUGCGUCUUCCCCCUGGCGUGCACUCGGCCAAGAGCUGGGGGCCACAGUCCCGGGCUGGGCUGGCCCCUCUCCUGGCUGUGGCUCUCUGGCAAGUCGCAGGACUUGAACUUCCCUUUCCUCCUCUGUAGAAGCAGUUGGUAACGUCCACUGUCUCGGGAGGUAGUGGCAAUUGGAUGACGUGUACAAGUGAGAAAAGGGGGUGCCGUGCCUGCCCUGGGGUCAGGGCUUCUCAGACAGUGAAUCCAUUAGGAAUUGCACGUGGCUGCUAGUAACGGACCUCUGACUACAGUGACAAAAACAUUCGGAGCUGAUUUUCUCAAGCAGAAGUUUGGGGGUCGUCUGGCAGUUCCAAGGUCUCAUCAGCGGCCGGGGCUCCUCUGUGUGGCUGCUCUGCCAUCCUGAGCGCAGAGCUUCCAGGCUCGUGGCUGCCUCAUGGUUGAAAAUGGUUGCUGGGGCUCCCUCCUUCACGCCUGCAUCCCAGUCCUCACUAGAUCCCGAAAGCCAGCAGCGCUGUCCGCUGCGUGACACAGACGAGAUUUGGAGAGGUCCAGCUUCUGGCCCGAGCGAUCCUCCUGGUAAGUGAUGAGCUGGCAUCUCCCCAGCCGGCCUGACACCACAUGCAGCUCUCGCCACAGCCUCCCUGGCCCCUCUGCCCACAGCUGACCAUGACCACGGCUCUGAAGAGGGGCUCUCAGCAGAGUCCCAGCCUGGCUGCUCCCGCCCCUUGGCAGACUUGGAGGGGGCACUGGGCGAGUCUGCCUCCCCUUCUGGGCUCCAGGCAGGGGUGGGGCCUGAGGCCACCAGCUGUCCUGCCCCUGCGGGGUGGGCGUCUGGGGAGCAGGUCCCGGCUGGAGCUCCCGGCUCCCAGGGGCUGAGCAGGGACGGCUGGAGGACAGUGCCUGGGUCUCCUAGGGCUCUGUGGAGAACUGAGCGGCCGGGGCUGGAGGGCCUGUCAGGAGGACAUCUGGACACAAGUGGAGGGGUGGUGCCCGCCUGGCCCGCCCGCCCGAGGCCUCACAGGGCGCCCACGGAGCGGGCCCGGGGCCACGUGAUGUGGGCCAUGCCCUGGCCUGCCUGGCCCGGCCCUGACCCUCGGGGAACCUGUCUUUUGGCCCUGGCUCCCCGACGUCCCUCAGCAGAGCUGGCCCCGCGCGCUCUGAGCCUCCCCGGCCAGCCUCCUGCUGCGCCCCAGGCGACGCCAGGCCUCCAUCCGUGGUGUCCCUUCAGGGCUGCAGCUUUGUGUGUGUUUCUGUACCCCUGUCUGUUGUAAAAGUGACACAAACACGGCUACAGAACAUCUGGAAAAGACAGAAGAGAGAAACAAGCAGCCUGGCACCAGCAAGGCUGGCGUUUUGGGGUAUUUACCACUAGUCCUUCGCCCUGACAAGGCUCCUUUAUUUUGCUCCUGUGGGUGACAGGGGCCCAGCACAGCUCGGAGGCCUCCUUCCUCAGCGUCGGUGGACAGAGCCCGGGACCCAUCCGGGUCUGGCUGGCCACACCCUAUUUUUAGCAGCUGCCGGGGAGCCGCCGGGGCUUCAGGGAGUGAAUUUCGGCAAACCCGCCUUGUUUGGGGCGCCGUCAGCAGCUACACACACGCGGUCCCCCCUUCACUGAGCUGAUGCGGUCACAAAGGUGGGGUCCCCUCCCGGGUGGGACCCGGGCCUACGAGCGGACUGGGCAGGACGGCGCCGUGGGACGUAGAGACAGCGCUGUGGGCCGGCGGGUGCAGGCACAGAGCCCCCCGGGGACGGCCCAUUCUCACCGCCCGUGAGGACAGCCCCGGGCCCUAAUGGCCCUGCCAGCCCCGCCCUGCCGCCGGCUCUCAACACCCCUCCCCCUGAAGAUGCCAAAGGCAGCAUCGCAGAUCCUUCGGGGGGUGAGGGGGUGAGGGCUUCGGGGAGAACGCCGUCAGCUCCUUCUCCCCUUGGUCGCUCGCCGGGGGCAGGAGACAGAACAGGUGAGAAAUAAGAAGGAAAAGCAACUUCCUAAUGGAAUCUGUCCACCACUGCACGCCUG